CACGUACAGUGAAACAUUUAUUAUAGACCCACAGACCAGCCAACACGUAACGAGACAAUGAGUAAACUUGUACUUCCAAUUCUGCUCCUACUGGUGGCUGUGACAUGGGUGGAGGGAUCUCGGUGGAGUACGGUGACCUGUGAUUGGUGUGUUAAAAUGAUGGAGCAUUGUACCUUCCGCUGUCAGAUGCAGACUACAUUCACCAGCUGGUAUUACUGUUCCGAUUUCUGUGACCGACGUAAUAUCGCGUGCGAGACCAACUGUAAACCGGCCAAGCCACAUUACUACAAGCUCAAGGACUUUUAGAGGUCGUGCUAUUAGUCACGUGACUCCAUUUCUACAUAUAGAAUGAUUUGGCCAUACUUUUAGCUACCUUUUCUGAUGUGACUUCUCUUUAGGUGUUUAUGAUGAAAGCCUGAUGAUUCUGAAGUGUCAUGCCACUGGGUUUGAAAAAAAAAAUUUGAACUGGAAAACAUAUUGACAUCGAUAUACUGUAACUCGGCAUACCAAUGUACACAUGGAAAGAUAUGCACUGAAAAAAACAUGGUCGAAUUUCUAAUACUUUAAAAAUAAACUUAAUCUUUAA